rnacentral:snoRNA from 1 species
AUGCCAUGAUGAGGGCACUUUUGUAAUAACUCCUUGAACCACUCCCAUGCCUCAUAUAAAGAUUCUUCGUAACCGCUCCCACACUUCAUAUAAAGAUUCUUCAUCAAGUUGUUGAAAUGAAGUGAUUUCAUUUUGGAUCUU